ACGGAAGGCAGCAGUGGGGAAUAUUGGGCAAUGGGCGAAAGCCUGACCCAGCAACGCCGCGUGAAGGAAGAAGGCCUUCGGGUUGUAAACUUCUUUUACCAGGGACGAAGGACGUGACGGUACCUGGAGAAAAAGCAACGGCUAACUACGUGCCAGCAGCCGCGGUAAUACGUAGGUUGCAAGCGUUGUCCGGAUUUACUGGGUGUAAAGGGAGUGUAGGUGGUUUGGCAAGCCAGAUGUGAAAGCCCGGGGCUCAACCCCGCGGACUGCAUUUGGAACUGUUAAACUUGAGUGCAGGAGAGGAAAGUGGAAUUCCUAGUGUAGCGGUGAAAUGCGUAGAUAUUAGGAGGAACACCAGUGGCGAAGGCGGCUUUCUGGACUGUAACUGACACUGAGGCUCGAAAGCGUGGGGAGCAAACAGGAUUAGAUACCCUGGUA
rnacentral:rRNA from 1 species